rnacentral:rRNA from 1 species
GACGAACGCUGGCGGCGUGCCUAAUACAUGCAAGUCGAACGCUUUUUCUUUCACCGGAGCUUGCUCCACCGAAAGAAAAAGAGUGGCGAACGGGUGAGUAACACGUGGGUAACCUGCCCAUCAGAAGGGGAUAACACUUGGAAACAGGUGCUAAUACCGUAUAACACUAUUUUCCGCAUGGAAGAAAGUUGAAAGGCGCUUUUGCGUCACUGAUGGAUGGACCCGCGGUGCAUUAGCUAGUUGGUGAGGUAACGGCUCACCAAGGCAACGAUGCAUAGCCGACCUGAGAGGGUGAUCGGCCACACUGGGACUGAGACACGGCCCAGACUCCUACGGGAGGCAGCAGUAGGGAAUCUUCGGCAAUGGACGAAAGUCUGACCGAGCAACGCCGCGUGAGUGAAGAAGGUUUUCGGAUCGUAAAAACUCUGUUGUUAGAGAAAGAAACAA